rnacentral:rRNA from 1 species
AGAGUUUGAUCAUGGCUCAGAACGAACGCUGGCGGCAUGCCUAACACAUGCAAGUCGAACGAGACCUUCGGGUCUAGUGGCGCACGGGUGCGUAACGCGUGGGAAUCUGCCCUUUGCUUCGGAAUAACAGUUAGAAAUGACUGCUAAUACCGGAUGAUGUCUUCAGACCAAAGAUUUAUCGGCAAAGGAUGAGCCCGCGUAGGAUUAGGUAGUUGGUGGGGUAAAGGCCUACCAAGCCGACGAUCCUUAGCUGGUCUGAGAGGAUGAUCAGCCACACUGGGACUGAGACACGGCCCAGACUCCUACGGGAGGCAGCAGUGGGGAAUAUUGGACAAUGGGCGCAAGCCUGAUCCAGCAAUGCCGCGUGAGUGAUGAAGGCCUUCGGGUCGUAAAGCUCUUCUACCAGGGAUGAUAAUGACAGUACCUGGAGAAUAAGCUCCGGCUAACUCCGUG